rnacentral:rRNA from 1 species
GAUGAACGCUGGCGGCGUGCCUAAUACAUGCAAGUCGAGCGAACAGACGAGGAGCUUGCUCCUCUGACGUUAGCGGCGGACGGGUGAGUAACACGUGGAUAACCUACCUAUAAGACUGGGAUAACUUCGGGAAACCGGAGCUAAUACCGGAUAAUAUAUUGAACCGCAUGGUUCAAUAGUGAAAGACGGUUUUGCUGUCACUUAUAGAUGGAUCCGCGCCGCAUUAGCUAGUUGGUAAGGUAACGGCUUACCAAGGCGAUGAUGCGUAGCCGACCUGAGAGGGUGAUCGGCCACACUGGAACUGAGACACGGUCCAGACUCCUACGGGAGGCAGCAGUAGGGAAUCUUCCGCAAUGGGCGAAAGCCUGACGGAGCAACGCCGCGUGAGUGAUGAAGGUCUUCGGAUCGUAAAACUCUGUUAUUAGGGAAGAACAAAUGUGUAAGUAACUAUGCACGUCGUGACGGUACCUAAUCAGAAAGCCACGGCUAACUACGUG